ACGCUGGCGGCGUGCCUAACACAUGCAAGUCGAACGAGAUCCAUGGGAGCUUGCUCCCGGAAGAUCUAGUGGCGAACGGGUGAGUAACACGUGAGAAACCUGCCCUGGAGUGGGGAAUAACUCGGGGAAACUCGAGCUAAUACCGCAUACCCUCGGAUGGUCGCAUGGCCGACCGAGGAAAGAUUUAUCGCUCUAGGAGGGUCUCGCGGCCUAUCAGCUAGUUGUGGGGUAACGGCCUACCAAGGCAACGACGGGUAGCUGGUUUGAGAGAACGAUCAGCCACACUGGGACUGAGACACGGCCCAGACUCCUACGGGAGGCAGCAGUGGGGAAUCUUGCGCAAUGGGCGAAAGCCUGACGCAGCAACGCCGCGUGCGGGAUGACGGCCUUCGUGGUUGUAAACCGCUUUCAGCAGGGACGAAAAUGACGGUACCUGCAGAAGAAGCCCCGGCUAACUACGUG
rnacentral:rRNA from 1 species